GUGGGGAAUUUUGGACAAUGGGCGCAAGCCUGAUCCAGCCAUGCCGCGUGAGUGAAGAAGGCCUUCGGGUUGUAAAGCUCUUUCGGCCGGGAAGAAAUCGGCGACUCUAACAUAGUCGCUGGAUGACGGUACCGGACUAAGAAGCACCGGCUAACUACGUGUCAGCAGCCGCGGUAAUACGUAGGGUGCGAGCGUUAAUCGGAAUUACUGGGCGUAAAGCGUGCGCAGGCGGUUUUGUAAGACAGAUGUGAAAUCCCCGGGCUUAACCUGGGAACUGCGUUUGUGACUGCAAGGCUAGAGUACGGCAGAGGGGGGUGGAAUUCCUGGUGUAGCAGUGAAAUGCGUAGAUAUCAGGAGGAACACCGAUGGCGAAGGCAGCCCCCUGGGCCUGUACUGACGCUCAUGCACGAAAGCGUGGGGAGCAAACAGGAUUAGAAACCCUUGUAGUCC
rnacentral:rRNA from 1 species